GUGCUUGCUUCAGUAGCACAUACAAUAAAAUUGGAACCAUACAGAGAAGAUUAGCAUGGCCCAUCACAGGAUGACACACAAAUUUGUGAUGCAUUCCAUAUUUUU